UGCCAGGAAACAGAGACCGUGGAACAUGUAUUGCUACAUUAUGGGCAGUAUCAGAGGGAGAAUGGGAUACAGGACAUUCAUUUAAAGAGUAUAUUGAGUAGAACGUCAUUAGAUAUAGUAUCAAAUAUGUUAUCUUAUUUAAAAGCAACAAGGCUGGCCCACACUCCAGUACAGUAGGUGGCGGUAAUGCACCAUAACGUUGAAUGCCAACCACCGAUAAACCCCACCGAAGAAGAGGAAGAAGGAAAUAAAAAAUGAUUAUCGUUAGAUUCGAUGAAACAUCGGUGUCUACAUUUAGGCCGGUUUAAAUGCAUGAACAAACCAAACAAGGUGAUGUUUUGUAGGCAAAGGGAAAGGGAGUGAAAAACCAACCGAAUCUCGGCACAUUCACUAUUCUGCUCUGCGUCUAUGUUAACAACAGAUGGACUCGUUGCUCCUGUGGGCCACUGCCGGAGUCGACAGUGUAUUUGUUGGGGAGGGAACGACUGUGGAAAGGCGGAAGACGGCGCAUCAGCAGUCAGAUUGGAAGCGAACUGGUUGUUGCAAGAUGCUUGUAAGCGACAGUUCUCUGCACGGGAUUUAAGGAUAAGUCAACUUUCAAGUUUGAACUCCUGAAAUAAUCUGCAUGGAUCAACAAGGGCUGAACUAAAAUCUUGAUUAAAAAAAAAAAUCUAUAUAUUCAAC
rnacentral:lncRNA from 8 species